UGAACGCACCUUAAGGCUUCUCUCCGUUUUUACAGUUGGAGGUAUUUAAAGACCAAUCAGAGGCGGUUGCUAGGUGGGACCGAAUGGGCCGACCAAUCAGCGUUUUUCUGCCAAAGUUAACUACGUCGUCAUUGGCUACGUUGAGCAGAGAGAAAGAAGCGUUAAAGGGAUUUAAACCAAGGUUUAAACCGUUAACUCUGUUGGUCAGCUCUGUGAGAAAGACAUGAGAAAACAUACCGGAGAGUCUGGAGGCGACAACAAACUCUGGAGCUGCUUUUUUUUGAUCACCAGUGAGACCAGACUGGACACACCCGAAGGUGUUUACAUGUGGAGCUGCUGCAGCCUGGAGGGAAACACCAGCUCUCACCUCAGAGAUGAACAGUGUCAGCGCCUCAUCCAGGAGGUCAGAGGUCACAUCACAGUGGACCAGGAUCCAUGACAGAGGCCUCCAGGUGAACUCACAGAAACCAAUGAAUCCACUAAAGGUGAAGAGUUUCAAAAUGGCUGCCCUGUCUCAUGGCACAUGGCUUUCAAACAAAGGAACUAAUAAGAUGGCUGCCACGUGGUCGACCAUCUUGUGAUUCCACCAUCUCACACUUUUCCAUCUUAAGUGUGACGCUGGCUUCCUGGAGCUUGUGCAGCUGGUGUCAUGCUGGUGUUGAUCUUGGCCCCAUGUGAGAAUGUGAUCCAUGUGAUAAACCUCACCCAGCAACCUGUUGAGGAUCAUUGAUGUCCUCUGCUGAGAGUGUUCAGAGGCUGACGUCUGUGAAGUGGCAGCGUCCAUAGAGUAAUAAAGGUUGUGUAAUGUGCUGACUCUGGGGACAAUGGGAUCUGCCAAAAUAUUCUGUUUGCAUCUAACUCACUGAAAACCUGAGCUCCAGCAAGGAUCCAACUGUCUGCUGAGUGGAGGGCAGGAUGUAUGACUCCCUGCUCACUGCUUCAUUGAGGUGAGUGACGUACCACAGAUGUGCACUGGCACCGGAUGACCACUCUGUUGGCUCCUCGGCUGGUCUGCUUAGCAAAGCUUUGUCUGAAUCUUUUAUUAUGAACAUAUCCUCCUGGACUUCCUGCUUCUCUCUGCACAGUGUCCCUCUGUACUUCCCUAAAACAGAAAGUGAUGCACCACCUGGACCCAACAAUGGCCUGACUGAUUUUUCCAACUGGGUUUUUCUCUCAUGGACACUGGACAUCAGCUCCAGUAUCUAUUCUAAAUCUGACUCUAUGGUCUCUGAUGGUUGGAUCUGCAUACCAUGGGUCUGAACCUGCUAGUCUGAACAUGAUAUUACUUGACUUGACUUUACUCACAUCUCAUGCUUGGCACUGCUCUUUUCCAUGUCCCAGGGAUUGUCUACAUCUGUCACACGUUUGACGAUCAGAUGGUGCUUUUGAUUUUGCUGCUGUGUGUUUGGGCUGCUUGCUUUUGUUCUUGUUCUUCAUUGACACUGCACCAAUUUCAGUUUUAUUUCCCCUCUGAGGUCUGUUUGUUGUCUUUUUUACCACUUCUGACUGCCGUGCCAUAUUUGCUUCAUCUCCCGUGCAGUACAUUAGUGUGUUCACCUGAUUAGCUUCUGAGCUAAGGUGGAGGUUUCUAGCCUGCUGGAAUCUUUUGAAUCUUCUUUUCCACUUUUCCCUGAACACAGGUGUAGAAAAGUUCAACGAUUCGGAACGUGUUGCUGUUUGAAGUAGAAAUUACAGAAUGUUUGAUCUGUGUGCUCUAGUUCAUGUGAGCUCCAGGUAGAAGGACCGACAGGCAAACAGGAAGUGGAGGGUACCAAAAGGAUUUAUAUAGGACUGGGGGCUGGAUCAGGUUGGACCCUGUAUUGCCUUCAGAAAUGCCUUAAUUCUCCAUGUCAUAGGUUCAACAAGAAGCUGGAGACAUUCCUCAGAGAGUUUGGUUCAUAUUGAUAUGAUACAGUCUGCUGUUCCACCACAUCCUAAAGGUACUGGACUGACCUCUGGAGACUGUGGAGGACCUUUGAGUUCAGUGAACUCAUCUUCAUCAAAUGAUGCUCAGUUGGUUUUAAGAGGCCAAGAAAAUCUCCCCCACACUGUU